UGCCAGGCCGAUUCGUAUAAAGCCUUACAGUUACUGGGAAAAAAAGUGAAAGUGAAAGCUUAGUUUUUUUGUUUUUUUUUCCUGGGGAGGAGCUUCAGUUGGACAUUAUAAAAAUCAAUUCAGAGGCUUUCUGCAACUACAGAAGACAAGCACAUUCAGGAGGAAACCAAAAUAACAUUUACAGAAGAUCCUAACGCUGCACGCAGAGCUUCCUGACAACCAGA